rnacentral:tRNA from 1 species
AGCGGGGUGGAGCUGGAGCAGCUCAGCGGGGUUCAUAACCCUGAGGGUGCGGGUGCAACUCCCGCCCCCGCAACCA